GAUGAAGAACGUAGCGAAAUGCGAUAAGUAGUGUGAAUUGCAGAAUUCAGUGAAUCAUCGAAUCUUUGAACGCACAUUGCGCCCUUUGGUAUUCCUUAGGGCAUGCCUGUUCGAGCGUCAUUCAAACCUUCAAGCUAAGCUUGGUGUUGGGUGACUGUCCGCUUCACGGCGGACUCGCCUCAAAAUUAUUGGCGGCCGGUACAUUGGCUUCGAGCGCAGCAGAAACGCGAACUCGGGCCCGUCGUAUUGGCUCCCAGAAGCUAUCUUCACAAUUUUGACCUCGGAUCAGGUAGGGAUACCCGCUGAACUUAAGCAUAUCAAUAAGCGGAGGA
rnacentral:misc_RNA from 1 species